GGCUGAUGAACUUGUACAAGUGUAUAUUUUGAAAAUAUGAAAAAGAAAUAAAAUUUUCUAUUAGCUU
rnacentral:tRNA from 1 species